rnacentral:RNase_P_RNA from 1 species
ACAGAGGUCCGGCUCGUCGCGGGGAGAGCGCUGUUUCAUUACGGCGCCGCCUGAGGAAAGUCCGGGCAACGCAGAGCACCACACUCUCUAACUGGGAGCUAUCGGCGACGGUAGAGCAGCGUGACAGAAAACAACCGCCGUGGCUUCAUUGCCGCGGUAAGGGUGAAAAGGUGGGGUAAGAGCCCACCGGGCGCCACAGCGAUGCGGCGUGCCGCACGUCUUGUGGGUUGCAAGGUCAAGUAUACCGGCAUUUAAGGGUUGCUCGCCCAUUGCC